rnacentral:rRNA from 1 species
UACGUAGGGUGCAAGCGUUGUCCGGAAUUAUUGGGCGUAAAGAGCUCGUAGGCGGUUUGUCGCGUCUGCUGUGAAAACUCGGGGCUUAACUCCGGGCCUACAGUGGGUACGGGCAGACUAGAGUGCGGUAGGGGAGACUGGAAUUCCCGGUGUAGCGGUGAAAUGCGCAGAUAUCGGGAAGAACACCCGUGGCGAAGGCGGUUCUCUGGGACGGUACUGACGCUGAGACGCGAAAGCGUGGGGAGCGAACAGG